UACGGAGGGUGCGAGCGUUGUCCGGAAUCACUGGGCGUAAAGGGCGCGUAGGCGGCGCGGAUAGUCGGCGGUGAAAGCCCGGAGCUCAACUCCGGGUCGGCCGUCGAUACUUCCGGGCUUGAGCACUGUAGAGGCAGAUGGAAUUCCGGGUGUAGCGGUGGAAUGCGUAGAUAUCAGGAGGAACACCGGUGGCGAAGGCGGGUCUCUGGGCCGAUACUGACGCUGGAGGAGCGAAAGCAUGGGGAGCGAACAGG
rnacentral:rRNA from 1 species